CCUGGACCCUGGCAGUGCCGCUUUACCUAAGAGAUGAUCACAAGGGACACUCGGGGGCACUUCCUGGGGCACUCACGUGUCCUGAGAGAAAGCUCUGCAGAGGGAGCAGAGUGAUGAGCGACACACCGGGUGAGAACACGACAAGGUGGGCAACUGAGACUGUUGGGGAUAAGUAAGCUGUUUCCCAUCACACAAUAGAGUGGAACAUGCCCAUGAAACAGUGUGACACAUGGGGUCAUUUGGAAACAGGAACACACACAGGGAGAGCACCAUAUGCAGGUGAAGGCAGAGAUUGGAGUGAUGCUUCUAAAUGAC